GAUCAUGGCUCAGGAUGAACGCUGACAGAAUGCUUAACACAUGCAAGUCUACUUGAACUUCGGUUUGGGUGGCGGACGGGUGAGUAACGCGUAAAGAACUCGCCUCACAGUUAGGGGACAACAUUUGGAAACGAAUGCUAAUACCUGAUAUUAUGAUUUUAGAGCAUCCUAAGAUUAUGAAAGCUAUAUGUGCUGUGAGAGAGCUUUGCGUCCCAUUAGCUAGUUGGAGAGG
rnacentral:rRNA from 1 species